GGGCGGGGGAUCGGGGCAGCAGGGCCGGGCCCAGCUGGAUGAGGGGCGCCCAGUCCCGAGCUGAGGCUGGGGCGGGGGGCGUCGCCGGUGGGUGGGCCCCUCGGCGGGACGCGGAGCGCGGGGGCAGGGUUACGGCGGGCCGGGCUUUAGUCCCGCCCCUGGAGCUGCGGGAGGGGCGCCCGAGCCUGGCGGCGGGCAGGGCCCCACAGCCUCUCCCGCUGGCCGGCUUCGUCCUGAGGUCCUUUCUCCCGGCGGCCGGGCUCCGGCUGCGCCCCAUCCCCGACAUGCCGCCCGCGGGGCUCCGCCCGGCCGCACCGCUCGCCGCGAUCGCCCUGUUGGUGCUGGGGGCUCCCCUGGCGCUGGCCGGCGAGGACUGCCUGUGGUACCUGGACCGGAAUGGCUCCUGGCACCCGGGCUUCGACUGUCAGUUCUUCACCUUCUGCUGCGGGACCUGCUACCAGCGGUACUGCUGCCGGGACCUGACCUUGCUCAUCACCGAGCGGCAGCAGAAACACUGCCUGGCGUUCAGUCCCAAGACCAUAGCAGGCAUCGCGUCAGCUGUGAUCCUCUUUGUGGCUGUGGUUGCCACCACCAUCUGCUGCUUCCUCUGUUCCUGCUGCUACCUGUACCGCCGGCGCCAGCAGCUGCAGAGCCCCUUUGAAGGCCAGGAGAUUCCAAUGACAGGCAUCCCAGUGCAGCCAGUAUACCCAUACCCCCAGGACCCCAAAGCUGGCCCUGCACCCCCCCAGCCUGGCUUCAUGUACCCACCUACCGGUCCUGCUCCUCAGUAUCCACUCUACCCAGCUGGUCCUCCUAUCUACAACCCUGCGGCUCCUCCCCCCUACAUGACAGCCCAGCCCUCCUAUCCUGGAGCCUGAGGAACCAGCCAAGUCUGCUGCCCCUUCAGUGAUGCCCCCACCUGUUCCUGCAUCUGGUCCUCGGGUGGACAGGGGUCCUCUACUUGCCAGGCCCCAGACCAGGCGAAGCCCUGGACCCUCCUAGGAAGGGCCCGGUUCAAUGGAACAGGAACAGAGUGGGAACUUGGCCAUAAUGAGGGGUGGGAGGGGAGGGCUUGGGAUUUGUGGACUCUUUUUCUUGGGGGGCAAGGGAAGGACAUGAAAGUCUGGGUCCCAGCUCCUGCUUUCAAAUAGUCCCUCUUCUCCCAGGACCCCAGCAGGGAAGGCCGGGCCCCUCCUGUUUGCCCCCCGGUGGGCUGGGAUGAUACUGGGAGAGGCUCCAUCAGCUGAAGCCCUCCUCCUGGUCGCCCCACAGCCAGGGCAUUGGCCUGCUGGAUUAAAGCGGUAAAGCUGUAACCCAUGUGAGUUGCAUCAUUGAGCCCAUCCACCCCUUCAGAUAGCGCAGCCUCUGCUGCGUCCAGACAACUACUGGCUGCACACCCCCAAGGGCAGGCCCCAGGGUGGGAGCAGCACCCCCUCACCAUCCAUGCAGAGGAGCCACAAGCUGAGGGCUCCCUGGGCUGAUUCCUAAGGCUAACCUGCUGGGUUUUGCCACAACUGGGAAAAGGAUGGUCAUUUGCAUUAUAGAGGUUCCCACAAGGGGGCAGGCCUCUGCCUUUUGUGGCAUUGCUGGCCACACAUGGGCGUCGGCCAGUCAGGCACACUUCUGUUCACGCCAGGGCCCUACAACUGUCUGACUCAGGAUGUGUCUCAGGCGGGCUCCAAGACCCAGUCUCUUCUUCCACACAACCGGGUGAUUUCUCAGGGCUGUCAUGAGGGUGCGACAUGCACAUGAAACCUUCCUGACCCUAGUCUCCCACUAGGAGCCAAGCGGAAAAACUGGCUGCUCAAAGACUGUGUCUGCUGCCUUGGGUCAACAGGGACCCUGAGACAUUGAAUCUGGGGCCCACAGGGAUGAACUGAAUUUGUGGUCAACUGGGGAUGGCACGGCAGGGAACCUGAGCUUCUAGAGUCCUCCAGGGAGCCCAGUGAGCAGUGGACACAGUCGUUCUCAGCUAAAGGCUUGUAUAUAUUAUCAAAAUCUUAUGGAAAAACAGAUACACGGCUAUUUAUACAACAGCAGGUGGGUGUGAGCAAAAUGUCUGCUUUGGCAUCCAACCUUCAAGCCCCGCUGUUGUCUGUCCCUCUCCUCCCGUGCCCCACCCACCCGGCACUGUCCAUGUGGGCCAGCUGCCCCUGCCAUGCCCUCUGACGAGCCCAGGGUGGGUGAGGGGUAUUCCACGGGCCCUCGUGCCCUCUCAGCAUUCUGCCAUUACCCCACACAGAGUGCCACCAGCCCAACAGCAUGGCCCCAAGGGCUCCUCAGAGGCCUGGAUCCUGGCCCAGGGCAGCAGGGCUGGGGCGGUGAUGUGAUCCCCAUGGGACAUCUUUCCCGGAUCAUAGGCCUUUGGCAGUUGGCCGGCUACACAGAUCCUAGGCAUGCCAUCUUCUCAGCAACGUGCUAGAAGGACUCUUCUUGUCUGGAAACCUCGGCUCCAGAUAAAAAGAAACUUUCGGAGAGCCUCAGAGAGACAAGAAAAGGAAAGUGAGAAGAACUAAGGCAUGGCCCAGGCCUCAAGCUUCCUUGAGCGUGGUCCUUCCUUGAGCGUGGCCCAGGCCUCAAGCUCUCCUGUGGCAGAACAGGGACAUCCACAGCAGGUCAGCCGGGGGUGGGGGGCGAGGCCUGGGCAGACAUGACAUUGGCAGCCGCCUGGCAGCCCGGUCCUACUGGAGCAGCUUGGGUACUUCCACCUGUAGGAGCAAAGCAGACAGCUUUGAGAAGAGAGUUUGGCAAGGCCCCCAUCUGCAAUUCACCUCACCUCCUUCUUUCUGGACCACCUGGACACCAGACACCUCAGCCUAUGUCUGUGGAGUGGAUAAAUGAGGGGUUAACACAACGGGAACAUUUUUCCUUUUCUUUAGAAACUGGAUGUCAUUGAGUGGCCACUGGAAUUACAACUAAGAUUGCCCUUUAGCUCACGCUGUCUAGUCCAAGUGGCUAUUGUGAGGGGAUUAAUUGCCACCAUCUUGUCAGACAGAGAGCUGAGCCUGGACUCUGGCACCCAGAGAGGUAGGGCUUUGAGAAACAGGAUCUCAAGGGCAGCCUCUCGGAGGGCUGGAUCUCCCAGACCUCUGGAAUAGGUUGACCCGUAGGACUUGGCUGGUCCUGAGAGGGAAUUCGUCAAGUUGAGACCAUUUUGUAUGGAGAGUGAGUGAGAAAAGACAGGGAAAGGUGUCAGGCAAAAAUGCUACAAAUAGCUCUUCCUCCAUUUCUAGGAGACAGGGCAGAGACAUGAGAAGCAUUGCACAAGAGGUUACACUAGAGGGAAGCGUCUCAGGGAGGCGGAGCUGUGGCCUGUGUGUAGCCUGAAGCCUAACACAGCUCUGCUGCUCGGUUCCUUUUUUUUUUUUUAAAGAUUUAUUUAUUUAUGCAUACAAGAGCUGGGGUACAGGCCAGAGGCACGGUGGCGGG